rnacentral:rRNA from 1 species
CAUAGCAUGUCAGAAGGCAGACCCGGAGAACUGAAACAUCUUAGUACCCGGAGGAAGAGAAAGAA